CUUGAUCGACCCCAGCCACAGGGGCUCGCGCCGGUCCUGUCCGUACGAGGCGAGCAGCGCCUGCGCCUC
rnacentral:antisense_RNA from 1 species